rnacentral:rRNA from 1 species
CCUGAUAUUCAGAUCCUAAAGGCAACAGAUCCCAUCUGAUCUUGGAAGCAAAGCAGGUCAGUCCUUGCUAGUACUUAGAUGGGAGCCCACCAAUGAAUGCCAGGUGCUAUAGGCU